UACGUAGGGGGCAAGCGUUGUCCGGAAUCAUUGGGCGUAAAGAGCGUGUAGGCGGCCCGAUAAGUCCGCCGUGAAAGUCCAGGGCUCAACCCUGGGAUGCCGGUGGAAACUGUCGGGCUAGAGUCCGGAAGAGGCGAGUGGAAUUCCUGGUGUAGCGGUGAAAUGCGCAGAUAUCAGGAGGAACACCAAUGGCGAAGGCAGCUCGCUGGGACGGUACUGACGCUGAGGCGCGAAAGCGUGGGGAGCAAACAGG
rnacentral:rRNA from 1 species